UCCUACGGGAGGCAGCAGUGAGGAAUAUUGGUCAAUGGCCGAGAGGCUGAACCAGCCAAGUCGCGUGAGGGAUGACGGCCCUACGGGUUGUAAACCUCUUUUGUCAGGGAGCAACGCCGGCUACGUGUAGCCGGACUGAGAGUACCUGAAGAAAAAGCAUCGGCUAACUCCGUGCCAGCAGCCGCGGUAAUACGGAGGAUGCGAGCGUUAUCCGGAUUUAUUGGGUUUAAAGGGUGCGUAGGCGGAAUGCCAAGUCAGCGGUAAAAUCGCGGGGCUCAACCUCGCUCCGCCGUUGAAACUGGCGU
rnacentral:rRNA from 1 species